GAGGGCAUAGCUGAAUGGUAGAGAGUGUGUUUAGCAUGCACAAGGUCCUGGGUUCAAUCCCCAGCACCUCCA
rnacentral:tRNA from 1 species